AAACUUUAGUACUAAAAUACAAUUAGUGCUCGCCAGGGAACUACAAGCGCUAGCUUGAAACCCAAAGGACUUGGCGGUACUUCAGACCCACCUAGAGGAGCCUGUUCUAGAACCGAUGACCCCCGUUCAACCUCACCACCCCUUGUUAUCCCCGCCUAUAUACCGCCGUCGUCAGCUUACCCUGUAAAGGUCUUAUAGUAAGCAAAAUGGGCAAACCCCAAAACGUCAGGUCGAGGUGUAGCGCAUGAGGUGGAAAGAAAUGGGCUACAUUCCCUAACCUAGGGAACCACGGACGGCGCUAUGAAAGCUAGCGCCCGAAGGUGGAUUUAGCAGUAAGAAGGAACUAGAGCGUCUC
rnacentral:rRNA from 1 species